GUCAUGUGCAUGUUAGACAAGGUCAACAGUGCAAUAAAAUGUCCUGGAUGAGAGGACCGCUCCACUCAAAGGGGUAUAGAUAAAACACACAAUAGUACAGAAAAAAUGCAAUAAAGCAAGGAUACAAAAAUAAAAAUAAAAAUAACAAUCUAUUGUAAGACAAAGGACGCAGUACCGAGUCUGACCACAGGGGGGAGUUAAAGGACAGGACUGCAGAGAAAAAUAAUCUGGUAAAUGCAUUUGCAGUCUGUUGUCCUUCCUCUAAAUUUACUCCCUCUGAUUUUUUAAUCUUCAUAACAGCAGAGGGCUUCUAUUUCUUUUCUAGACCCUCAUUAUUAUUUAUUAAAAAAUCAUAUUAUCAGGCUGAAUCAAUCUAUUUGCAAUUUCAUGAACUUAAAGCUUAAAAAUCAGAACUCUUGUGUCAAUUCUCAACAAUAAAAAAUUACAUAUAAAUCCUGUAAAUAAAUCAGAAUUAAGGCAUUGAUUGAAACCUGGUGGUGUUUAAGUAACUCUGCAGCUCAUCGACAGGUUGAAUGUGCUUAUUAAAGACUCUCAGUGCUGGUAUUAAACCCUUCAAAGCUCACUCACUGUGGGAAACAGCAGCCUGAUGCCUUGCUUAUUUACUCAGCUUUAGUUCCAGGUUACACAUCAGUGGUUUGAUUUUUUCCCACAGUAUCCAGUUUCUUAAACUUAUCACCAGGUGUGACUCCUUAAAAACCUUAAAGAUAAACUAAACAUGUCUGACUCUGUGAGGCUCAUAAAUGAUCGUUUUAGGACUUUAAGGAGAUUUUUACAAUUAUUAUAUUUUCUUCCCCUCUGACUGUCGGACAGAUUUGGUUUGUUUGUAUUAAUCACAGCAUGUUUGCUUAGGGGUAGACAGGUCAAAGGUCAAAGCACCAAAAAAAACACACACACAGUAACCCACUUUUAACUCAGUUGUUCACAGGAGGGUCUUCAGAGAACAUUUGAUGCUCUGACUUUCUCUAUUUCUAUAUUAUGAAAGAGCCAUGCAACAUUUACAAAUACAAUCACGUCAAAUUUUCUUCUUCGAGAGACAAAUUCAACAGUUGCCCGAGUUUCCUCGUGAGCUUUUUGUACGUUUUUGAUUUUCUAAAUCAUGUCCUGCAGCUCUCCUGCCCUCUCUGCUCAUACCUAAACUUGAACCUCUCACAUUGAGAACGACAAAUGAAAACUUCAGCACACGGCUGGUUUGAGGAACGUGUGGGGGUUCAUUUUCCAUUUCCGCUCCAUUAUAUUUAUCUCCCCCUGUCAUCAGAAGAAGAAAAAUAACCCUCGACUACCUUUAUUUCCUUUCCCCAUACAUGACUCACGUCUUUACUUUACGUCUGGAUCUUUCACAGUUUUCAUGAUUUAAACUAAGUGAUUUCUACUCCUAUUUUGUCAGUCCUUCAACUCAAAGUUGAGCCUAAAGCUGUGAGCUUUUCUGUGUAUGUUGGCCUGAAAGAGACACUUUGAUUUCAUUUGGAAACAGUCAGACUGUUUCCCUGCAGAGUGACGGUACAGAAAGUCUCUAUCUCAGCCACAGUUGAUGGGCGGUGUGAGACGAUUUCCCCUGAUAAGUGCAGCUGCACAAGCCAAGUGAGGAAACUACCACUUACACUGACUUCACUCUGUAAUUAUAAACUUAAAAGACGAGGAAAACUGGGGAGAGGGAUCAGGGAAAACUGCAGAUUUAAGGAAAGCUGCUGAAAACUGGCAGAUUCUUUUAGUGAUUUAUAAAGAGAGACAGAGUGCUGUAUUUGUAUGUCUCUGUGAUGAUCUAGUUAUCCAAACCUCCUGUUCACAGUUUUCAACUAAGACUUUAUGUUUCUUUCUUUUUUUUGCUCCUAAUUUUUGUAGAAAUGCUUUGAAACAAAGAAAAACCUGAAGAACAUCCAAGAAUAAAUGCCUAAAAACAAGUUGAAUCCAUGUUGUCUUCAUGACUUUGUUGGUACUGAAACCAGAGCUUGUAAAAUGACAGUAUUUCACCGUCACACGCUUUUUAAACGGUCCUGGUGUCAAAAGAAAUCUGACAGCCUGCUUUAAAAAAUGAAAUAAUCUUCCUCCUGCACAUUCAGCUCCGUCUAAACAGCCAAAUGGAUUUAAAACAUUUUCACGCCGUUUUGAUUCUCCAGGUUUCAAAGCUCCUGCAGCAUCAGCAGAAAUGCAACAGCCCUCCGAUUUCUGGGCGAGGAGGGCGGAAGUGUAAAGGAUUAUCAUCAGGCAGGAGGAACACAGAUAAAACAUCAAAUCCCAUUCACGCCACCCACAGACGAAGGUAAAGAGACAAAGAAACAGAGAAACCUCGGUGCUCUGUCAGCGGUUUGAGAGGAGAAACAUGGAGAUGUUUGACUGAAGCUGUGAGAUAAAGACGUUUGGGUAUGGGAAGAUGGAGCAAAACGGUAAAAACAAGUCAGACUCUCCCCCCGCAGAAUAACACAGACCAUCUUUAAAGCUGUAGAUCAAUAAUCCUGCAGAUGAUGACGGAUGAUUCUGCACAUGGAUCAUUUCAGGAGUUUGGUGGAGUAAGACCACAGCUCCUCUGAAGGCCACAUGUUCCUCUACAUACAGCUGAAAAAAUGGGUCCCACUUUCCACGAGCUACAGAAGAUGCAUCAGGUGCAUCCUUUGCAUCCCAGUAUUUUCAGGAGUUUCAGAUUUUUUCUCCAUCUGAUGAGAUUUUAGAGUCUGGAGGUCUUAGUAUUGGAAGCCACUACGCUGGACUAACACCAACAUGUUGCUCGUCUGUUUUCCAAAGUGAAUAAAACUGUAUUCAAGUAUUUGGAUGUUUUUUACCUCCAGACUUCCAGCUCAAAGGUCAUCAUCUUACCCUGAAGAAAAGCCAAGACUCAGACUUUUGGAAAAGGUUCAGCGAGUCCUAAAAAUGAGCGUUGUGUUUCUGUUUCCUCAAAUUAAACUGCUUGUAUCUGCUGGUCCUGGUCUGAGGAGGCUACCAUGUUGCACCAGCAUGUUUCUACGGUAGCCUGGAGCAGCCAGAUUUAACAGAGGUUUCAGAGCAGGGAUUUGAAGUGGUUUUUCCUUCACCCUGAAGAAGGAUGGAAGAAGAGAGAUGAGAUGUCUUCCUCCUGGUUUUUGGACUUUGCUGAUCAUGCAGAUGCAUUAAAGGAUGAUAUAUUACCUUUAAGUGAUCGAGUGUUGGGGUUUGUUGGAAAUGAUCUCAUGCAAACAGUGCAGGAAGCUGUGGGAGUUUGUAUGGGAGUAAAAUGCACAUAUGAUUAAGAUCCAAUCAAAACUGAAAAUAUUUACAGUAAACUUGAUUCUCAUGUUGGCGACUUGAACCAGCGACCUUUUGUCCUCUUCAGCUCCUGGUAUGUCUGAUGUUUGAUUUACAGCAAAGUUUGUUUUUCCCAGAGGAGAGAGAAACUUUUUCUUUUUUUAUAUCAGGAACACAAAGAAAGCAGCUCCAGGGGGACAACAAGUUUCCUCAUCGGGGAUUACACAACAGCAGCGGCUUUGAGGAACCACAAUAAUACGAUGGGAGGAGGUUUGAC
rnacentral:lncRNA from 1 species